CUUAUGAAGAAGUUAAAAACAACUAAUCAUAAAGUAUAUACAAACAUAAACAAUGCUUUCACAUGGAAUUAAUACAAAAUGUGCGCCACUCUGAUACAUAUAAAUAAAAUCCCCUAAAAUAAGCUUGCGGGCAGCAUGUAUGUAGCUUCUCUGUCACUAUAUACAACUGUCAUUCUUACCUAUCGUUUAAAGUUGAAAAUGCAGCUUUCAUUAUCCUGUGUAUUGAAAAGUCAACAAUGCUUCAAAGUAUUUGGCGUUUGUAUUAAUAGCAUGCUGAGACAAGAUCACAUAUAUAUGUAAAAGAUAUGGGACUGGUUAAAGAGGGUAAUGUGAACUGCAAGAUAAAACGGCAGAAUGAAGCCCGUCUGACUCAAUUUAAAAACCAAAGCUAUGUUAUGAUUUAAUAUUAUAAUCUGUGUUUUGUUUUCAGUCAAUCAGAACACAGAAUUCAAA